rnacentral:rRNA from 1 species
UGGCGGGGGGAAUAUAAUGCAGUCGAGCGGACAGAAGGGAGCUUGCUCCCGGAUGUUAGCGGCGGACGGGUGAGUAACACGUGGGUAACCUGCCUGUAAGACUGGGAUAACUCCGGGAAACCGGAGCUAAUACCGGAUAGUUCCUUGAACCGCAUGGUUCAAGGAUGAAAGACGGUUUCGGCUGUCACUUACAGAUGGACCCGCGGCGCAUUAGCUAGUUGGUGAGGUAACGGCUCACCAAGGCGACGAUGCGUAGCCGACCUGAGAGGGUGAUCGGCCACACUGGGACUGAGACACGGCCCAGACUCCUACGGGAGGCAGCAGUAGGGAAUCUUCCGCAAUGGACGAAAGUCUGACGGAGCAACGCCGCGUGAGUGAUGAAGGUUUUCGGAUCGUAAAGCUCUGUUGUUAGGGAAGAACAAGUGCAAGAGUAACUGCUUGCACCUUGACGGUACCUAACCAGAAAGCCACGGCUAACUACGUGCCAGCAGCCGCGGUAAUACGUAGGUGGCAAGCGUUGUCCGGAAUUAUUGGGCGUAAAGGGCUCGCAGGCGGUUUCUUAAGUCUGAUGUGAAAGCCCCCGGCUCAACCGGGGAGGGUCAUUGGAAACUGGGAAACUUGAGUGCAGAAGAGGAGAGUGGAAUUCCACGUGUAGCGGUGAAAUGCGUAGAGAUGUGGAGGAACACCAGUGGCGAAGGCGACUCUCUGGUCUGUAACUGACGCUGAGGAGCGAAAGCGUGGGGAGCGAACAGGAUUAGAUACUUUGU